UGCCAACAAACCAAAGAAGCAAGUGAGCAGG
rnacentral:piRNA from 1 species